UACGGCGAGUGAAGCGGCAACAGCUCAAAUUUGAAAGCUAGCCUUCGGGUUCGCAUUGUAAUUUGUAGAGGAUGAUUUGGGGAAGCCGCCUGUCUAAGUUCCUUGGAACAGGACGUCAUAGAGGGUGAGAAUCCCGUAUGUGACAGGAAAUGGCACCCUAUGUAAAUCUCCUUCGACGAGUCGAGUUGUUUGGGAAUGCAGCUCUAAAUGGGAGGUAAAUUUCUUCUAAAGCUAAAUAUUGGCGAGAGACCGAUAGCGCACAAGUAGAGUGAUCGAAAGAUGAAAAGCACUUUGGAAAGAGAGUUAAAAAGCACGUGAAAUUGUUGAAAGGGAAGCGCUUGCAAUCAGACUUGUUUAAACUGUUCGGCCGGUCUUCUGACCGGUUUACUCAGUUUGGACAGGCCAGCAUCAGUUUCGGCGGCCGGAUAAAGGCUCUGGGAAUGUGGCCUCCACUUCGGUGGAGGUGUUAUAGCCCAGGGUGUAAUACGGCCAGCCGGGACUGAGGUCCGCGCUUCGGCUAGGAUGCUGGCGUAAUGGUUGUAAGCGACCCGUCU
rnacentral:rRNA from 1 species